rnacentral:tRNA from 1 species
GGGGUUGUGGCUCAGAGGUAGAGCGCUUGCCUAGCAUGCAUGAGGCACUGGGUUGGAUCCUCAGCACCA